rnacentral:rRNA from 1 species
GCUCAGCAGUCGCGAAUUCUUCUCAAUGGGGGAAACCCUGAAGGAGCGACGCCGCGUGGAGGAUGAGGGCUUUCGGGUUGUAAACUCCUGUCAUUUGAGAACAAGUGGCCGAACGUAACUGCUUCGGCCUUGAUAGUAUCAGAAGAGGAAGGGACGGCUAACUCUGUGCCAGCAGCCGCGGUAAUACAGAGGUCUCAAGCGUUGUUCGGAUUCAUUGGGCGUAAAGGGUGCGUAGGUGGCGCCGUAAGUCGGGUGUGAAAUUUCGGAGCUUAACUCCGAAACUGCAUUCGAUACUGCGGUGCUUGAGGACUGGAGAGGAGACUGGAAUUUACGGUGUAGCAGUGAAAUGCGUAGAGAUCGUAAGGAAGACCAGUGGCGAAGGCGGGUCUCUGGACAGUUCCUGACACUGAGGCACGAAGGCCAGGGGAGCAAACGGGAUUAGAUACCCCCGUAGU